AUCGUCGUCUAGUCCGGUUAGGAUAUCUAGCUUUCACCCAGACGACCCGGGUUCAAAUCCCGGCAAU
rnacentral:tRNA from 1 species